rnacentral:rRNA from 1 species
AGAACGAACGCUGGCGGCAUGCCUAAUACAUGCAAGUCGAACGAACACUUCGGUGUUAGUGGCGCACGGGUGCGUAACGCGUGGGAAUCUGCCCUUGGGUUCGGAAUAACAGUUGGAAACGACUGCUAAUACCGGAUGAUAUCGAAAGAUCAAAGAUUUAUCGCCCAGGGAUGAGCCCGCGUAGGAUUAGCUAGUUGGUGAGGUAAAGGCUCACCAAGGCGACGAUCCUUAGCUGGUCUGAGAGGAUGAUCAGCCACUACGUGGGACUG